ACGGGAGGCAGCAGUGAGGAAUAUUGGUCAAUGGACGGAAGUCUGAACCAGCCAAGUCGCGUGAAGGAUGAAGGUAUUAUGUAUUGUAAACUUCUUUAGCAGUGGAGUAAUAAGGGGAUCGCGAUCCCUGAUGCAAGUACACUGAGAAUAAGGAUCGGCUAACUCCGUGCCAGCAGCCGCGGUAAUACGGAGGAUCCGAGCGUUAUCCGGAUUUAUUGGGUUUAAAGGGUGCGCAGGCGGUCGAUUAAGUCAGUGGUCAAAUCACGGUGCUCAACGCCGUUCCGCCAUUGAUACUGGUUGACUUGAUUCCGGUCGAGGCAGGCGGAAUUCGUAGUGUAGCGGUGAAAUGCAUAGAUAUUACGAAGAACUCCGAUUGCGUAGGCAGCUUACCAGGCCGGCAAUGACGCUCAUGCACGAAAGUGCGGGGAUCGAACAGGAUUAGAUACCCUGGUA
rnacentral:rRNA from 1 species